rnacentral:rRNA from 1 species
UACAGAGGGGCAAGCGUUAUUCGGAAUUAUUGGGCGUAAAGGGCGCGUAGGCGGCCUGGCAAGUGGAAGGUGAAAUCCCUCGGCUUAACUGAGGAACUGCUCUCCAAACUGCUUGGCUUGAGAUCGGGAGAGGUGAGUGGAAUUCCCAGUGUAGCGGUGAAAUGCGUAGAUAUUGGGAGACACCAGUGGCGAAGGCGGCUCACUGGAUCGGAACUGACGCUGAUGCGCGAAAGCGUGGGAGCAACGGG